CUCCCGCCGGCGACCGGCGCACGGGUGAGUAACACGUAUGAAACCUGCCCGUAGCAGGGGGAUAAGCGGAAGAAAUUCCGUCUAAUACCGCGUAACAACCCAUGGAGGCAUCUCUGUGGGUUUAAAGGAAGCGAUUCCGGCUACGGAUGGUCAUGCGUCGCAUUAGCUUGUUGGCGGGGUAACGGCCCACCAAGGCGACGAUGCGUAGGGGUUCUGAGAGGAAGGUCCCCCACAUUGGAACUGAGACACGGUCCAAACUCCUACGGAAGGCAGCAG
rnacentral:rRNA from 1 species